rnacentral:rRNA from 1 species
CCGUUUCCUGCGGAAUAGCUCCGGGAAACUGGAAUUAAUACCGCAUACGCCCUACGGGGGAAAGAUUUAUCGGGGAAGGAUGGGCCCGCGUUGGAUUAGCUAGUUGGUGGGGUAAAGGCCUACCAAGGCGACGAUCCAUAGCUGGUCUGAGAGGAUGAUCAGCCACAUUGGGACUGAGACACGGCCCAAACUCCUACGGGAGGCAGCAGUGGGGAAUAUUGGACAAUGGGCGCAAGCCUGAUCCAGCCAUGCCGCGUGAGUGAUGAAGGCCUUAGGGUUGUAAAGCUCUUUCACCGGAGAAGAUAAUGACGGUAUCCGGAGAAGAAGCCCCGGCUAACUUCGUGCCAGCAGCCGCGGUAAUACGAAGGGGGCUAGCGUUGUUCGGAAUUACUGGGCGUAAAGCGCACGUAGGCGGAUAUUUAAGUCAGGGGUGAAAUCCCAGAGCUCAACUCUGGAACUGCCUUUGAUACUGGGUAUCUUGAGUAUGGAAGAGGUAAGUGGAAUUCCGAGUGUAGAGGUGAAAUUCGUAGAUAUUCGGAGGAACACCAGUGGCGAAGGGGCUUACUGGUCCAUUACUGACGCUGAGGUGCGAAAGCGUGGGGAGCAAACCAGGAUUAGAUACCCUGUUAGUCCACGCCGUAAUCGAUGAA